GACAGAGGGGGCAAGCGUUGCUCGGAAUUACUGGGCGUAAAGGGCGCGUAGGCGGGAUGCAAGUCGGUCGUGAAAUCCCUCGGCUCAACUGAGGAUCGUCGAUCGAUACUGCCGUUCUUGAGGAUUGCAGAGGAGACUGGAAUUCCCGGUGUAGCGGUGAAAUGUGUAGAGAUCGGGAGGAACACCGGUGGCGAAGGCGGGUCUCUGGGCAAUUCCUGACGCUGAGGCGCGAAAGCGUGGGGAGCGAACAGG
rnacentral:rRNA from 1 species